CUUUCAGCACCUGCUGGUUUGUCAUAGGUUUUAGUAUCCCUAAUGUGUUCACAAGAAAAGCUGAUGAUUAAAAUAAGUAGAUUUUGAAGAUCACAGAGAAGUCUGAAUGGAUGGGGACUCAGGAAUUACUUUACAUUCAAGUCCAUAUUUGAGGAACUGAAGUAAAAACGGACUCUUUGGGAUUUGGUUUAAGUGAUGGAUGAACAGAGUGGGAAAUAAAGGAGUAGAUUCUGUCAUCCCAAUGAAAAAAAUAUGGAGUACUUUAAUCUGCUAAGAGGGCUCCAGCCUGCAAGAAGGGCAUUCCUCUGCUGCAGGACGGAGUUCAGAGACAAGUGAAUCGGAGUCCUACUGGCGUAAUUCAUAGGCUGGAGUCAUAAAGC
rnacentral:lncRNA from 1 species